ACCCUGGAGUGGCCGGGUCAGGACGCAUAGCCCUCCUCUUGGCGCUGCCUUCGCCCCCCACCUCCGAGUGCCCCCACUUGCCCUGGUCCCGGGGUUCCCAUGUACAGGGGGAUACGAGUUCCUCCUGGGAUCAGCGCUCUGUUCACUGCCCCCUCAAAAAAAAGCCUGGGCUCCUGGUGCGGCUGCACCCGACUCGCAGCAGCGCACCCCUCCUCUUGCUGACGCCCCAGGGCCCGGGAGAGACCGGCGACGGGGAGCGCAGGCGACGCCCGGCGCCGGGAUGCUCCAGCGUGCCUCCGGGUGCGCGGGGUGCGCAGGGGGGCCCCGGCGCCCUGCGCGGUCAGCGGUGGUGGGCAGGGGUGCCUGGCGUGCUCCGGUCGCCCGGCGCCCGCGCUACCUCGGGGAGACCUCUGCCGCCGCCCGAGCGCGCAUCCCGGCCCGGGGGCGCUCCCUGCCGGCCGCCGCGCGCACCAGCCAGGCUGAGCCCCGGCAGCAGAGCUGCGGGCGCCUCUGUCCCCCCACCCCCAGGGCGGGCCAGGCCUCCGGUGCUGCGGCUCCAUCACCCACGCCCUCGGGGCUGAGCUGCCUCACUGCGCAGGCGCGGAGGUGCGCACCUGCUCCUUUGAGACGCUCACCUGUCCUUGUUCUUACCGGCAGGAGGGGAACCAGCGCCGGGACCAUCAGCCCAUAAGGGAAAGGGCCCUUGCCAGCCACCUGCCCUUAACUCCUGGGAGCGGGCAGGGAGGGCUGCGGGAGGCUGUCCCUUCAGACCCAGACCAUGGGAGAGGGGAGCCCCACUGAGUAUGCCACACAGCAUCGACACACAAGCGCCUCCAUGCUGGAAUCUCAGAGUCCAGGAGCCUUGCAUCUCCAUAGAGCGGGGACCCCACGAGGAACCUGGCCAGGCCCGCCAUAAAACAUAUCCACCCCGCCGGGGCUCCUCCGAGCCAGACAAAUCGCCCACGCUCUGGGGGAUGAUAACUCUGCCACCAAUCUUCCCUCCUGUCAGCACAAAACUGUUCAAUCAACAGGAGUGUGAGCUGUGUCUUUUGUGAAAUUAGCACAGGAGGAAAUACAACCUGGGCUGGGGACUGGGGCCGUGGGUGCAGGAAGGGGCCAAACCACUGUGGGCGAUGACCUUGAACACACGCCUUGCCUGCCGGCUUCUCGGCCUGAGUCUGGGUCUUAGGAGGGCACAUCCGUGAGACGGCAAGCAUACUGCCCAGGAGGAAACCAAGGCCACCAAGACGCCGGGCUGUGUGGUCUCCUCCUUCCCACGGUGAGAGGCUGAGUCCCAGUCUGGGAGCUCAGACCCUGGCAGCUCCGCGUGGACUCUGCACCCUGAGGUCCUCACUCACAGCCACUGGGGAUGAGACCUCCAGCUCACAGGUGGAGGCUGGACACCUAGGGAGGUUACGUAGAUUAGCCCACCCACUGAGGAGCCUGGGGG
ensembl:lncRNA